rnacentral:rRNA from 1 species
AAAUCGUGCUUUGCGGCACGAGUUGUAGAUUGCAGGUUGGAGUCUGUGUGGAAGGCGGUGUCCAAGUCCCUUGGAACAGGGCGCCCAGGAGGGUGAGAGCCCCGUGGGAUGCCGGCGGAAGCAGUGAGGCCCUUCUGACGAGUCGAGUUGUUUGGGAAUGCAGCUCCAAGCGGGUGGUAAAUUCCAUCUAAGGCUAAAUACUGGCGAGAGACCGAUAGCGAACAAGUACUGUGAAGGAAAGAUGAAAAGCACUUUGAAAAGAGAGUGAAACAGCACGUGAAAUUGUUGAAAGGGAAGGGUAUUGCGCCCGACAUGGGGAUUGCGCACCGCUGCCUCUCGUGGGCGGCGCUCUGGGCUUUCCCUGGGCCAGCAUCGGUUCUUGCUGCAGGAGAAGGGGUUCUGGAACGUGGCUCUUCGGAGUGUUAUAGCCAGGGCCAGAUGCUGCGUGCGGGGACCGAGGAC